GCCAGACUAAAAUGUUUGAUCUUUUGUCGGGAAAGGUGAAACCACUUCUCUCUAUGAGCCAUGAAAUUAAAUGCUAUUAAGAGCCUAUUUAAUCACAUGAUGAAAUAUUGCUUAUUGCUUAUGUGGUUAUCUUGGAAACAUCAAUAUGAAAUCAUGCAUUGUAAAAAGAGUUUCAUCCAUGGUUUCAUUUUUAUUUUGUUGAGGUGGCACUCUUGGAAGCAACAAAAUGAAAUCAUGCAUUGAGAUUGGCAAAGUGACACAUUCACCAAUAGGUUGAAACAUAUAAAUACAUUCACACUUUUAGAACCAACCUCAUCGUACACUUUCAUGGAAACCAAUAGGCAACAUAACUAAAGUUACACUUUUAGAAUACAUCAUCAGUACAAUGUUCAGAAAUAUAAGGCAACAUAACCAAAGUGAUACUUGCAGAAUAAAUCAUCGGUACAACAUUUAGAAAUACAAGGAAACAUAACCAAAGUGAUACUUUUAGAAUACAUCAUCGUACAAUGUUCAAAAACAUAAGGCAAUCCUAUAGUACUUUCACCAAAGUACCAUUAGUGUAACACCCUAUUUGAAUUUUGCUAGGAUUUUAAAAUUUUAAUAAAUUAUUAGAAUUAAUUAGAGAGUGUGUACAAUUAUUUGCAAAUAAAAUUUAUUUUCUAAAAAACAAAUUAAAUAAAUGUAAGUUAUAAAACAUGUUGGUUGCAUUCAUGCUGAAUUGCAGAGCUUUUAUUGUGUGAAAAAUGAGUUUGAGUUUUCAAAUUCGAAUAGGCUCAUCUACCGUUCAAACCAUUUUUGAAAAUAUCAAACCUCUCUAACCUCUUUUAGGCCCAAACCCUUCUCUAACCCGGCCCAUCUCUCUGUCUACCCAAAAACCCUCUCACUAUUUUUUUUACUGCUGUCUAAAACCAGCCUAAACCUCCUCUAUCUAGGCCUCCUUUCUAGCCUCCACGUUGUGCCCACCUGGGCCAAGAGCCUCGCCAGCCCAAACUCCAUCCUCUCCCUCACAAGGCCUCCUUCAGGUCUAACCCGCAACCCCACCUGAACCAAAACCUGCUCAGCCUGCUACACCGUCCCGGCUCAACUCUUCCCCACCUCUUCUUCCCUAGGCGAAGCCCAGCUUCCCCAAGGCCAGCCCAACCUGCCACCAACACUUCCCCCACCCGUCGGUCUUACUCCCCUCCCUUUCUUCUUCCUCCCUCUUCCCUGCUUCACCGCCGUGACUCAAAUCCCGCAUGCCCCGCUCCCAAUCUUCGCCGCCUAGACCCACUCCCCACCUUCUUCGCCCUCCACCCUUGCCUACAAGCCGGUCUAGGUGUUCGCACGCAGCGGCUGUGGCAAGGAUCCACCCAGCCCAUGCCAAUCACGGUCGCGAUGGCCGUGCCCCCAAAUCCUAUCCAUACCCUGCCUCUUCGUGGCCUAAAAAUGGCCUGCCUCACGCCAUCAUGCCCCCUUUACCCAGCAUGCCAAACCACCGUUGUCACCUUGCCCCUGCUCGUGGAGUUUUGCCACCGCCGCUGCCCCGGGUGAGAACCAGCAGCCGUCUACUUCUAUCCCCUACACCGGCGUGCCCCCGCUCCAAUCGUCACUAGAAUUGGGACCAUGAGGCCACCAACAGCACGCUGGCGCCCUCAGCCUUACCUUUGGACCAACGAAGUGCCACCAUGAGCCGCUGCUGCAUCCACCGGGUAAGGCUCGACCGCCGCUAUCAAUCUCCAUGGUUGAGAUGCCUUUCACCCCGCUCUCAUCUCCGUUCCCCACGCAGAAGCACCAGCAAACAAACCCGACCCCUGGAGACGUGAACUUGAGCUGGAUCUUUGUCUCCCAUGCACACCCGAGCUGCCCGUCCUCCUUUCGCCACCACACUUCCUUAACC
rnacentral:lncRNA from 1 species